AUUGAACGCCGGCGGCAGGCCUAACACAUGCAAGUCGAGCGGAUGAAGGGAGCUUGCUCCUGGAUUCAGCGGCGGACGGGUGAGUAAUGCCUAGGAAUCUGCCUGGUAGUGGGGGAUAACGUCCGGAAACGGGCGCUAAUACCGCAUACGUCCUGAGGGAGAAAGUGGGGGAUCUUCGGACCUCACGCUAUCAGAUGAGCCUAGGUCGGAUUAGCUAGUUGGUGGGGUAAAGGCCUACCAAGGCGACGAUCCGUAACUGGUCUGAGAGGAUGAUCAGUCACACUGGAACUGAGACGCGGUCCAGACUCCUACGGGAGGCAGCAGUGGGGAAUAUUGGACAAUGGGCGAAAGCCUGAUCCAGCCAUGCCGCGUGUGUGAAGAAGGUCUUCGGAUUGUAAAGCACUUUAAGUUGGGAGGAAGGGCAGUAAGUUAAUACCUUGCUGUUUUGACGUUACCAACAGAAUAAGCACCGGCUAACUUCGUG
rnacentral:rRNA from 1 species